UUGUACAUAAUUCAGAACGUAAAAAAGAAGCACGAACGAACUAUAUACUUAUCCUAUAUUAAAUAUUAAUAUCCAAUAGUGUGAAUUGUGGCAGCAGUUUCAGGUUGGUAGCGUUCCGGCAAUCUUCCCUCGGGAGCCUCGCUUUCGAUUUCAAAAUGGCGGCUGCGUGAAAUCGGCGUAUUGCAAUUCUAUAAUAAUUAUUUCUUAUGACAUAGAUCAUGUCAAACUAUAAGAUCACGUUGUAGUCGAGGGAGGAGUUCAUGGGUCGCAGGUGUUUGUUUCCGUGGUGCAAGAGUUCGAGGUUGUUGCAUGCCUUUCCCCGCGAUGCUGUCAGGUCUAAACUGUGGCUGCGGGCGGUUGGUUGGCCAUCAACUACUAACACAUCAAAAUUGUUUGUGUGUAGCAAGCAUUUUUCCCGAGAGAGCUACGAGAAUUGGAGAAAGGUGGACUUCGGCCUUGCUCCUGAAGGCAGUUUGCGUCUAAGCGAAGAUGCGGUUCCAAGACCCGAGGAUUUUUCCAUCCCUUCAAAGGCGUCAGCAACAUGUGAAAUGGGAUCCCAGACGGAGGAGCCCAGCACCAAAGAUGGUCAAUGCCAAACCAUCCAUGACUUGAAGCAGCACAGCUGGAAACCUGAACUAAAGAGUGAACGUGUGUUUUACAGUUUUCUACCUCUAUCUUUUUAAUGGCCUUUAGUUUAGAUAUACUGACAUUGGUGGUUUGUCCAUCCUUAUUGUGAUGUGUCAUAGAUUAGAGAUCUGGAUGUUACUGGAAUACAGAGCAUUGUUAUAGACUUGUUAAACAAUCAGUUUUAACAUUAAUACCUCAAACAAGUGGCUAUUUUUUUUUGUUAUUGUUAACCAAUAAUUGUAACUUUAGGCAAUUCUCUAUAGAUUUAUGAUCUUUUUUUCUGACUUUCUGACUUGCAAUUAUGCUAGUUUUAUUAGUGCCUAUAAAUAGCGUACCAAUACUUGUUACUAGUAACAUUUUAAUUCUUUGUAAUAAGAAUUGUUUGUUUCACCUGUUUUUAUUUUCAAAUUAGCACUUUAUAUGUAUGUAACAUUAUUUAUCAAAUACUAACAAAUACUAGAUAGUACAAAUUAUAGAGUAAAAGAGGUUUUAGAAAUGUGGGUGUCAAAUUUUAUAACAGUCUAUUACAACAAUAAAUUUGUGCUCUUUA